ensembl:lncRNA
UAUCGUAACACCAACAGUUAAAAUGAUUUACAUUAAGCAUUAAUACUUAUGGAACAGUAUACAAAACUUAAAACAUAUAAAGUGCAUAGUUCCGUUCAUCCAAAAACCUUGCAUCUAAUCCUUAAUCCUGGGCCCUGGUCAAAGUGGCACUUGGUCAAAAAAAAAAAAAAAAGAAAAGGUUGGGAACCACUGGAUUAGAUUAAGCUGGUUAACCAGUUAAAAUUCAUGGGUAAAUUAGGAGGGUUUUUUUUUACCUGAAAAAAAUCGGGGGGGGGGGGGAGAGAUUGAACCCCUAGUCCGCCCCCUCUCCCUGGGGGCUUGAUAGAGGAGGGGGAGGAAGCGAAGAAAGAAGAGGAGGCGGCUGCAACCUUGCAACCUCCCUCCCUCCCUCCCUCCCUCCUUGGUGGCCACUUGGCAACUGGCUGCGUCUUCAGCCUCUGUUCGGAGGAAGGAGGGGAGGAGGGAGGGGAGGGGGCGGGCUGCUGUUCCUGAUUGACAGCCAGCCCCAAGCGCCUCCCCUCCGCCGCCCAAUACAGAGGCAAGGGGAAGGAGAGCCCUCCUCUUUCUCCCCCUCCUUCCCUCCCUCCUUCCCUUCCCGCUCUUCUCCCCGCGCCGCUUUGCCAGAGGAGCGCCGGCUGGGCAUGGCUGGGGUCUGCUGCUGCUGCUGCUGCGGGGCUCUGGAGCAGAGGGCGAAGGAGCAGAAUCUUCCAAAGGCCAUCUAGCACAACCUCCUGCCAUGCAGGAAUCUAUAACUAAAGCACCACUGGAAGAUGCCCAUCCAGCCUUUGUGUAAGGAUCUCCAAAGAUGGAGGGUUCACCACUUUCUGAGGCAGUCUAUUCCAUGACUGAACAGUUUUCUCACACGAAGGAAGUUCAUUCUCAUCUUCAGGUGGAAUUUCUUUUCUUGUAAUUUAAAUCCGUUCGCUUGUGUUCUAGUCUGUGGAGCAGCAGAAAAUAUGCUUGCUGCAUUUUCUACAUGACAUCCCUCCAGGUAUUCAGAAAGUGCUAUCAUGUCACCUCUCAGGCUUCUAUACUUAUCCGUCACUUUUAGUUGCUCUCAUAAAGCUUGGUUUCCAGACCUUUGAUCAUCUUGAUCACCUUUAUCUGAUGAAAUUGGAGAAAUCACAAGCUGCUUUGAAAUCUAUUCAUUGUUAGGCAUAUUUCUCUUGCUCCACCCCAUGAAUACAAUGCUUUCUAGUAGCCUUUUAGCAUUUUCUGCCUAUGUGGAAAUAACAUGCAUUUAUAAAUGCAUACUAUGAACAUUUGGCCCUUUAUUUUUUUUCCUUUUUUGCUUCAUAACUAUUUAUAUCUGUAAGCAAAUAAGCUAGGUACAAUAAUCCAACCAAGCAUAUAUUGUACCUAGGUAGUACAGAUAAUUAGUACAAUAGCUAUAGGAAAAAUAUUCUGUGUGCUCAAACAGAAUGGCAGAGUGCUUUCCACCAACCUGUUAUGUGGCUUAUAUAGCUUUAGGGUUAUAUUGACUUGACUGUUUCAUUCUAGAAAUAGAUCACUUCAGAAAUGCUUCAGUGGUUGGGAAGUGGAUCAAUUUAAAGUGAAUUUAAAGUGUUUAUAGUUUCAUGGGGAUAUUUUCUUGUUUGUCUUCAUAUACUAAAUAUUUACUGCAGUGUAGUUACAUUCAAGUUCUUCACACUAUUCUGUGUCGGUUUGGAAGACAUUUUUAGUAGUGAUAUUAGGAGGUGAUGAUGCUGAACCUUGUCCUGAUUUUUAGAAAUGCAUCAUAUUAUUUUUAAAACCCAUGUUGUGUUGAUUUUUAGGCCAUUGGACUACCACACUGGAGACUAGGGUUUGAAUCCCACUGGUUGACCUUGAGAAAGUCAUACUCUCUCAGCCUCAAGGAAGGCACUAAUAAUCUCUUUUGUACAAAUCUGUCAAAGAAAACCCCACAAUUGGGUCAUCUUGAAGGCACAUAACAUUAUGUUAUUUUCUUGGCAUCUCCCUGAAUGAUCAAUUUUUUUCCCCAUGGAGUUCCCUUUCUAUACUAAGUGUGGUGCUUCAUGACAUGUGAGUGAGUACAAAUGUUAGUAUAUUGUUAACAUUGCAGAGUAUUUAAGAAUAUUUCAUCUGCCUUUUGGUGGUUUUUUUCACUUCUGAAUUUUCAAGGUAAAUUCUAGAUGAAAGGCACUAAUAGCACAUAAUGUGUUCCAAGCACUGUGGUUUUUCAGGGAGGCCUCUAGGUCAGAGGAUAGCAUUCAGCUCAAUACAGUAUUGCAUUGAUUAAAUGUGCAUGAAUUAAGAGUAAUGCUGACCACUGCUCUUCUUUGCUUUGAGGCAUCUGUAGGGGAUGUUAGGUUUUUCUUUUUUGAAAAAUUACACUAAUGGGCUGGUAAGUACAGCCUAAUUGUUUUAUCCCCACAUCCAUUUUGCCAGAAGUCAAAAACUUAAUCCAGCGUGUCAUGUGGAAUCAAGAACUUUUGGGGGUAGGACAUAGAAGAAUCUUCUUAAUAAAUAAGGUGGGUUGUUGCUCUGCUUUUAUUUGUUGUGGUUCCUGUAAUUGUAGCUAGCUUUAAGUUUUAGGAUUGCUGGAUUUUAUUCUUUCCAAUUGGAAACUUCUCUAAAUUUAUGUAAUUUUAUAUGUUUUAUUAUGGCAAACAUCUUUUGGCAGGCUUUGAUUUCUGAGAGUGUGACAAAAUGGUAAGCCCAUUUCUGAGGCAUCCUUCUAUAAGCAUUGUGUGCUUCGUAUUUUGUGAUUGUGCAAUGAGAAUUAAGAGAGAUUUAGUGGGAGUGGAUUGAUAGAUUCUUUUUUUUUUCUAAAUUUAGGCCAUGCCUUGACACACAAGAGUGUCCAAACUUUGGGCUUCCCUGGGUCACAUUGGAAGAAGAAGAAUUGUUUUGGGCCAGACAUAAAAUACUGUAACACUAACAAUAGCUGAUGAGGAUGAAAAAGAAAAGAAAAGAGGUUCAUGCAUAAGCAAAAAACAAAAAAAGGCCUCACAAAAUAAUCCUAAUUAUGCACCACCCUAUUCAGAGGGUCUUUUAAAAUUGUUGAGGAGGUCUUCUGGCUGAACUGUUUGCAAUUAUAAUGCAACUUUUGGAUAAAGCUCCAAUAUUUGUAGAUGUAGAAUACUCUGAUUUUUCUAUUCUGUUCCAUUGUUGUCAAAAAGGUUUGUGCUUGAGAACUGCACAGUGGAGUUACAACAAUCUUAAUGUUUUAGGUAAGAUUACCAUUUUGUGUUGGGCUGCAUUCGUAGGUAUCCUGGGCUGAAUGCAGCCCACGGCCCACAGGUUGGGCAAAUCUAUUGUAGUGUUUCCUCUUUAC